UACGAAGGGGGCUAGCGUUGCUCGGAAUUACUGGGCGUAAAGCGCACGUAGGCGGAUUCUUAAGUCAGGGGUGAAAUCCCGGAGCUCAACUCCGGAACUGCCUUUGAUACUGAGAGUCUCGAGUCCGGGAGAGGUGAGUGGAACUCCGAGUGUAGAGGUGAAAUUCGUAGAUAUUCGGAAGAACACCAGUGGCGAAGGCGGCUCACUGGCCCGGUACUGACGCUGAGGUGCGAAAGCGCGGGGAGCAAACAGG
rnacentral:rRNA from 1 species